GUGCCAGCAGCCGCGGUAAUACGGAGGGUGCAAGCGUUAUCCGGAUUCACUGGGUUUAAAGGGUGCGUAGGUGGGCUGGUAAGUCAGUGGUGAAAUCUCCGUGCUUAACAUGGAAACUGCCAUUGAUACUACUGGUCUUGAAUUUUCUGGAGGUAAGCGGAAUAUGUCAUGUAGCGGUGAAAUGCUUAGAUAUGACAUAGAACACCAAUUGCGAAGGCAGCUUGCUACAGGGAUAUUGACACUGAGGCACGAAAGCGUGGGGAUCAAACAGGAUUAGAUACCCUGGUAGUCCACGCCCUAAACGAUGGAUACUCGACAUUUGUGAUACACAAUAAGUGUCUGAGCGAAAGCAUUAAGUAUCCCACCUGGGAAGUACGACCGCAAGGUUGAA
rnacentral:rRNA from 1 species